rnacentral:lncRNA from 10 species
UGAUGAUUGUCUUAUAGUGGCUGCUCUUAGAUACAAUAGAUGCCAAAAGUUUCCUAUUCAGAUCUUUAAAAGGUGCUAGAUUUUUAAUCUCUUUAGGAUUGGUAGGGUCUGGUAGAAAACAUCUAGCUAUGUUAAUAGAGAUUCUUUACAGAUGUAAAUUUUUCCCCACAAAGGACAGCUUUCCACGGCCAUUUCAAGAUACGGCAAAGAAACAUGUUUUGGAGUAAGGAACAAGAGAAAAUAAUAUUGAACAAUCCCUCUCCAAAAUGAGCUGUGUAGUAAGGGUCACCAAGCCAGAAGCAAUAGCUGAAAGCAAUGUGGUUUGCUGGAUUGCAAGGAUCAGUUCUGUAUCCCUUGGCAGCAAGCCUCAACCUCAACCAGAUAUACAUGCAGCAUUCAGAGGGAAACAGAUAAACAUCUACCAUUGCUGACAGAUGAAGAGAACUGGUCUACCACAUCUUGGCUUCUUUACCUUCAUUUUUAGUAAUGCAAACAUAAAUGAGACUUUUCUUUCCCAUGAAGUAACUAAUUACUAGGUGAGUUAUUUCAAGUCCUAGCAUUACUACAAAGAAAAACAAAUUCCUUUCUGGCACCACCUCAAAAGAAGAAUUUCAAUUGGAUUAGCUUCCUUUAAUCUAGAUGAACAUAAUAAUACCUUUUUUUUUUAACCAUCCUUUCGUCGAAUCCAUUCCUUUCCCAUCCUUUCUUCAUUCUCACUUAAAAAUAGUCUUAGUGACUCAAACAGUCAUGUUUGAAUUAUUUAGAAAACUGAGGCAAUAAAUACAAAUCACUUUACAUGCAUACAGGGAGAGAAAGGUAGAGACAGACAGAUAUGAUAAACAGACUAUUCACUAAAGCUCUAGAACACCAGUUGAUCCUGUUUUUUAAUUUUUUUUGCUCAAAUCAAACCUAUGAAUUGAAUGAAGUGAGAGUUGCCUGUUGAAAGUUUUAUUUAGAAUGUAACUAACCAUUGCUUUAUGUGUGCUUUUCCCCCUUCCUUAUUUCAACUGGCUUAUUUUAUAAAUUAACAGAUUAGGCAUUUAUCAUUGCAGGUGGUAGUCACCUAAAUGCAGUCUAAAACAUUGCUUGGAAAAAUGAGAAAAUUAUUCCAGGUAUUAAGUCUUUCUUAUUGCUAUAAGAAGUAAAGCCUGCCUCUUUUUUUUCUCAGAUUCCCUUCAGCUUCUAAUUCCUACAUAAUAGCCAGCAAACUUUUCAAAGAUUGUCACUUUAGCAAUUUUUUCUUUUUCUAGAGAUCUUCAUGAAACCUUUCAAAAAUCCAAUUUACCCAGGGGAAAUAUUCUUUUAUUUGGGUAAAAUUGUGGAGAACGUAUAUUUUAGUUCUUAUUUCUUGUUUACCUGCUAGAUCCAAGCCAAAAAAAAAAAAAAAAGAAAAAAGAAAAAAAGAAAAGAAUAAAAGCAAAGAAGGAUCUCAAUUUCUCAAUUGUUCAAAAAUUUUGUGUUGUUUGCUAACUUGCGCUACUUUUGAUAUUUGAUAAUAAAAAAAUCCCCCAUUACAUAAUUUUAUAUCAUGCCUCAUAUAUUUCAUAGUAUUUAUUUCCUUCAUAGUAUUUGUGACUUAUUAAUUUUAUGUAAUUAUUUCUAAUAUUUUCUGCCCUAGUAGUGUAUAAGUUCCAUAAAGACAAAAGCUAUGUUUAUCUUAUUCACCUCUG